GGCAUGAGUUUUAAAAUAAAAAAUAAAAAAUAGGGAAAUCGAUUUACCAAACUAGGUAAAUCGAUUUGCCCUACGCAGACACCAAAAAUAAGCCUUUUUUUGCACAAAGGAUAUUUGGUUCCCCCCACUUUUCCACUUGCUUUCCCUAUAAAUAUAUGCACUAUUCCCCCUCAUUUUUCAUGCUUUCUAGCCCCCAAAAAUUCUGAAAAAAUAUCAUCCAACCCCUCUUCUCCAAACCUAAAUCAAAACCAAAAAACCUUUCCCUCCCAAAAGUCACCACCAACAACUUUUUUUUUUUCAUUUCACAUUUUUUCCUCAAAAUUUCUCACUCUCUAACACUCAUAACCCAACCCCUUUACUAAGCUUUCACCACAAAUAUUUUCAUUCCAAACCCCUUGCUUCACAUUCAAGCUCAACACCAUUUUUCUACCUAGCUUUUUUUCACAUUUUUGUGGGUAAUGAUUUUAACUUAAACUUUUUAACUUUUUUGUUUCUUUUUUUGAUUAAAAACGGUUGCUUGUUCUUGGUUGGUCUUUUGAGAUGGUUUAGAUUAAAGCUUGCAAAAAAAUGAUUAACUUUGGUUUACUCACCUUUUUUAAAGAUUUUUUACUCUUACUAUCUUUUUUCACCUUUUUGUGGUUGCUUUGUGUGUGUUAUCAUUUUCUUUUAUUAUGGACUUGUUGUUGUAUUUGUUUGGUUGAUGAGGUCUAUUAGAUCAUGACCAUGGUUGUUUAGAGUUGAUUAAAUCUUCAAUGUUU
rnacentral:lncRNA from 1 species